AGUCACUAAUGCCAUUGUAGUGGUUCACUGUGGACCAGAGAUCUUCCAGCUCUUUCUCCAAAUCAUAUUGCAUUUAAUGAGGAUAAUCAUUUCUAGCCGCCAUAAUAAAGAUACACCAAAUUCUCAGUCUCGGUGGCGGCCCAACAUAAUAAAGAUUUUUUUCUCUUUUGCACAAAGACUGAUUUGGGUCAGGAUCUCUCCUCCAUCUUGAGCAAAGUCAUCUGGAUCAAUUGGCCUCCAAGGCAGCUCAGGCCUAAGUUGCAGCUUUUGACAAUCUAUACGGAGAUGGCCACUCCAGGACAUUUACCGGCUUUGAUAUGUGGCAACAUCAGUGACAGAUGAAACUGCAGCUCUGAACCUCAACCAAGAGCAGCAAUAGAAUAACAGAGCAGAUGAAGAGGACUUGGAGCCCAUACUCACUGGUGCCAAGAUUCAGAAAUAGCCAGCAGCAUAAUGGUCCAAACCUUGGUCGUGUAAGGCUAAUUUCCUGUUGAAAUUGUGGCCACACAGAUAUGUGCCGUACCCAUGAUUUCUGCACUUUUCUACGUCUGUACUACUUCAACUAAAAGCUCAUCGAAAGGAGUUGGGAAGGGGGCAGUUCAGCCUGGCAGCUGUGCAUCAUUCUUCCUGCUUCUCCAGGCGUGUUGCCUCUGACGUGGCCAUUCAAAGCAGCCCAUCCCUCGUGGGGCUACUUCUGUCCUCCCCCCAAGGAAAGGACUGAAAGGCGAGGAGCGAAGGACUUUUUCCCAGUGACAGUUUGCUUUCUGUUAUGAAAGGAAGCCCUCCUGGGGACUUUCACCUACACAUCACUCGGUUACACGGCCCCCCUGCCUUAGAUAUUCACUUUCCGACCUCUGUACUGGAGAGAUUCAGAAAUGGAUCUUGAGGGGCCACAUUGUGUUACUUCUACACGCAGAGGAGAAAUUUGAGAACAAUGCGAAUACCCGAAAAUGAAAAUCAAGCCCCAAGCCAUUGGCCUGAGAUAACGUGAUUGAUGGUUCCAUUUCGUAUUUGUGUCUCAUCUAAGUUACUCUUCCUGAGGAUUAAACCGGCACUAGCCAGCGAGAUUGGCAGAGGACCUCGAACUUCAGGUAGUACUGUAGUCCUUGCUGAGAUCCAAAUCUCACGGGGUGAGAUCUUGACCACAAGCCCCAGGCUAAAUUUGUGAACAAAGUAAUAUAACUUCCCUACCUUCUUGUGACUCACAUAUAAGCAAUUGAGAACAAAAACAAUAGGAAAGAAGACUUAUGACAGCGAGAGACACUGCAACGAUGGAGUUUACAGAGCCUCUUUAUAUUGAUGGUCAAGUAAGGAAGAAUUUCAAGAAAAUGGCCUUAAACCUAAGUAACAGGUAAAAUACAAAAUCCAUUGAUAGAGAAGGGGUAACUUAUUCAGCAUAUGUUGAAUUCUUCCCAGUGCCAAUUGGGAAGUAGGACAAUCAAGAUGAUCAGGAAGGAGCACCAUUCUGGAAAAAGUUACUGGUAUGAUGAUGGUAGCAGUCCUGGACAAGCUGAAAUUUUGAUUCAGACAGGACAUCCUUGUGCAAUAUCCAACAAAACAGCUGAAGAGGUGGUUUUGAAAUUCAAGAGAGAAGUUAGGCCAAGAGAAAUCCGAUUAGGAAGUAAAUCUCCAGUUCUUAUCAUAUAUGAAAUUACCAAGAGAAAGAGAAUAGAAUAGAGGCGACAUACAGAAAUUGAACACUGAUAUUUAUAAAUAAAACUGUAAAAGUGAAUGAGACUAAAUUAGAAUAGUGAUAGAGAUGGAUAUAAAAUAAUAGAAAAGAAAAAUACUAGAAUAUCAUCAAAGUGAUAUUGACCUAUAUAAAACAGUUUCCAAAGGGAUGGGGUCAUUAGUAUCAAAAUGAGUAGCAUUCGACUAGAAAAAGACCAGAAAGAGAAAUGUUUUAGAAAGAAAGUGUGAGUUUAAGGAAAAAAAAAAAAAAAAAAAGGCCAGAAUACAAGAGAUUGUUAGUUCAAGAUUAGAAAUGGGGAAAGUUCAUGUAGACAGACUACCCUUGUAAGGAAACUUGGUAGCAGGAUGAAGAGUCAGUAGGUUGGGGUAAUCUUGGUUCUUUGUGGGAGACUUAAGAGAUGCUUGAGUGUUUAUAACCCGAAGGGUAGCAGAUUGUGCCAACCCAAAAUAUGCCUCUUUGGCAUUAAGGAUUCUCUUGAACCAACUAUUUUGAGAAACUGCAGGCACAAGAGAAGUUCUGAAAACAGUAAAAAUUCCCCUUUUGUAGAGAAAAUUUACAUUAGAAAGGGGGCCUGUACAAGGAAGGGAGUUCUCAUCAAAGAUUAUCGUUUGUUUGUUUGUUUGUUUGUUUGGCCUGAGACAUCUGCGAGGCAGAGCAACUUUUACCCAAUAUUUCCUUUUCUCAUCUUCCUCAAAAUUACCUCCCCCCACUUAAGAUCCAGACCCCUGUGCCUUUCUUGAGCUCAGGAUGGUGUAUAAGCCUCAAUUGUCUGCCUGCCAUCUGAGUCUCAUAUCUUUGUGAGGUUCUCAUACAUUACAUAUGUAAUUUUUUUUUCUAUUGUUAAUCUGUUUUUUAUUAUAGGGCACCUUAGCCAAGAACUCGAGAAGGGUGGAGGGAGAAAAAUUGUUUUUCCUCUCCUACAAAACUGAAGAGAAAAAGUUAGUGGUUAGACUGAAGAUCCAAAAGCAGGUGGCGAUAGAACAGUUCUCAGAAAAGACAUUAUCAUUUGGAAUCUGGACCAGAGUCAAAGGCAUUAGCAUUAAUAUACUAUUGCAUUAAUGCAUUCCUCCUGUCAGGCAAGCAGAGGAGGCUAUACGAAUAUACUUUGAGUUGCGGAGAAAAAUUCAGAAGGAGUGUAUGUGUGAGAGCUUAGAUUUUACUCAAUAAAAUAAGAGGAAGAUCAUAUGCUGUUUUUAGGUGAUAAGGAUGAUGAGAAAGGUGAUGAAGAUUAUGGAAAUUUCGUAAAGUAGCACCUUUAUCUUCCAACACCUCAGUGAAAUUCAAAACCCCAGGAAUUUAAACCAAAAAGGAAAAGAGGAGAGGAAAUAGAAAAGAAAGGGACAUAUGCCUAAGGGAGAUAUUGAAGAAAGAUCUGAACUUGAGGGAAAAAAUCUGCCCUUUCAGUCCAUUGAGGAAUUACUUU